rnacentral:rRNA from 1 species
CUACGGGUCGCAGCAGUAGGGAAUCUUCCACAAUGGGCGAAAGCCUGAUGGAGCAACGCCGCGUGAGUGAAGAAGGUUUUCGGAUCGUAAAACUCUGUUGUAAGGGAAGAACAAGUACAGUAGUAACUGGCUGUACCUUGACGGUACCUUAUUAGAAAGCCACGGCUAACUACGUGCCAGCAGCCGCGGUAAUACGUAGGUGGCAAGCGUUGUCCGGAAUUAUUGGGCGUAAAGCGCGCGCAGGCGGUCCUUUAAGUCUGAUGUGAAAGCCCACGGCUCAACCGUGGAGGGUCAUUGGAAACUGGGGGACUUGAGUGCAGAAGAGGAAAGUGGAAUUCCAAGUGUAGCGGUGAAAUGCGUAGAGAUUUGGAGGAACACCAGUGGCGAAGGCGACUUUCUGGUCUGUAACUGACGCUGAGGCGCGAAAGCGUGGGGAGCAAACAGGAUUAGAUACCCCCGUAGUC